rnacentral:lncRNA from 14 species
UCUUUUAAGUAGCAGGAAAUGUUGACAUCAGCUAUGUGCUAUUCCUUUUUUAAUGGUUAUCUUGGGACCACUGUUUCAAGGCCUAUUCUGCUCAUGGUUCGAGAAAUUAUCCAGAAGAAGUAUACAUGCAGAAUCUACUUGGGCUAUGGAGAUGAAUCUGUUGCCUAUUUACCAUGAGAAGUUUCAGGGGAUCAAGGGAAACCAAAAAGGACAAAGCCUGUGUAAUACUCGUGGUUCACAUUGCAGCCUUGGAUUUGCCGUACACAAGGAGAUAUUCCUACAUUUUAUUGUUUGCAUUCUCAACAUAAGUAGCUAGAGAUACAGUGUUACUUGAAUCUUUAGUGUGUGUAAGCUGGGGACAUGCUGAUAUCCGAAGUUCCUGUGAUGACCUUUGACUCUGGCAUAAAGGUAUAACACUUCUGGGAAACACAUAGAAGAUAGAACAAUCAAAUAUAGACAUGGUCUACUCAUCCUAGAUGGUAUAGCUCCGUGUGUAGGCUUAGUUCUGUUUUGGUUGUACCAGAAGAUACUGCAAAAUGGAUAGUAUUAUCCUUGGUAAAUAAAAGUGUAUUUUUCAUACA